UGCCGCGUGCAGGAAGACGGCCCUAUGGGUUGUAAACUGCUUUUAUACAGAGAGAAACGUUAGUACGUGUACUAACCUGACGGUACUGUAAGAAUAAGGAUCGGCUAACUCCGUGCCAGCAGCCGCGGUAAUACGGAGGAUCCAAGCGUUAUCCGGAAUUAUUGGGUUUAAAGGGUCCGUAGGCGGUCUAAUAAGUCAGAGGUGAAAUACUAUCGCUCAACGAUAGAACUGCCUUUGAUACUGUUAGGCUUGAGUUAUUGUGAAGUAGUCAGAAUGUGUAGUGUAGCGGUGAAAUGCAUAGAUAUUACACAGAAUACCGAUUGCGAAGGCAGAUUACUAACAAUAUACUGACGCUCAGGGACGAAAGCGUGGGUAGCGAACGGGAUUAGAUACCCCGGUAGUCCACGCCGUAAACGAUGGUCACUAGCUGUUUGAUGCACAUUGGUGUGUUGAGUGGCUAAGCGAAAGUGAUAAGUGACCCACCUGGGGAGUACGCUCGCAAGAGUGAAACUCAAAGGAAUUGACGGA
rnacentral:rRNA from 1 species